rnacentral:rRNA from 1 species
UACCAACUCCCCGAGUGGUAAGGACGAUUAUUUGGCUUAAAGCGUCCGUAGCUCGUUUAGAAAGUCUUCCGUAAAAUCCAGCGAUCCAAUCGUUGGACUGCAGAAGAUACUGCUAGACUAGGAGGCGGGAGAGGUCGACGGUAGUCCAAGGGUAGUGGUGAAAUCCUAUAAUCCUUGGAGGACCACCAGUGGCGAAGGCGGUCGACUAGAACGUGCCUGACGGUGAGGGACGAAAGCUGGGGGAGCGAACCGGAUUAGAUACCCGGGUAGUCCCAGCUGUAAACGAUGCGGGCUAGGGUGUAGGGGCAGCUACGAGCUGCUCCUGUGCCGCAGAGAAAUUGUUAAGCCCCGCCGCCUGGGGAGUACGAUCGCAAGAUUGAAACUUAAAGGAAUUGGGCGGGGGAGCACCACAAGGGGUGAAGGCUGCGGUUU